GCGGUGUCAGCUUCCUUCGGCCUUUCGCCAUCCUCUUUCCCCAGCGGUUGUUGGGCAACGUCCGCUGCGGCCGGGGGAUAACAUGUCGAAUAUAGAGGUCUACGAGCUGGUCGCGACUGCUGCAAUCUCUGCAGCUGACCUUUUUCUGGAGCACGAACAAGAAGAGCUCUCCUUUGACCUUACUCCUUGGCACUCUUCGCGACUUUGCAUGAACUUUACUGAGCACCACAGAGGGAACUCCUUGGGUUUGGCCUGUUAAUUCCGCCCGCUUUCAGCGUCAUCCCGCCGUUCUGAUGAUCCAAACAUGGAGAUUCCUGCUUUUCAGUGGACAGCGAGGCUAAAGUACAUUUGUGUUAGCGGUAGUGGAUCUUGAUGGUCCGGCCAAUGAGGAGGAAGAGCAGUCCGGCCAGCAGAGAGAAGAAGAUGCCAACGGGAGCAAACAUGAAGGAGAGGCCGUAGUUGAGGGUCAAGUGGAAGUUGGGACACACAAAGGUGCGCUGGUAGUCCACGUAGACGUCCACCACGUCCAGCAGCUCUAUCCACAGCACGUACAUCACCACCACGCACAGCAGGAAGAAACCUGGAGGGGAACGUGAAUGAUGGUCAUUGCAUCAUAUGGACAAGAAGAUCCUGUGACCCGGUCUUACCCGAUGCCAGGAAGAAGCCUCCACCCGUUUUGUACAAGCAGUGGUUGGUGAAGGGAGCGGCGCAGAUGACGAGGAAGCCGCCAAGGAUCACAGCUGCCACGCCGACGAGCAUGAAGAUGCUCCAAAAACCCCUGUAGACUGAGAAGCAUCCACCAUUGAUCCAUGGAAUCGUCGUUACCAUCACCAGGGUGAGCAGCAGCCCGUCCCGGAUGAUGAAAGGCGGACUACACCCUGCACUGGUCACCUGUCAAUCAACCACAGGUCGAAUGUGAACGGGCCAUAGAUUCCACUCAGGUAUGUGAGCCACUAUACUGGACACUACCAACACACUUUUUAGGAAAUGACGCAAUACUUUUGUAAUGUUUAUAAUACGUACACUUAGCAGUAUAAAACAUUGUAUUAAUAACAUUAUGUUCUUUUAUUUAAAAUAACGAGUUAUGAUGAAAUUAUUUGAAGUGUCUUAGAUAUAAAGCAUUGUUGUGUAAAAAGUGAUAAGUAAAACCGAGUUUUUGUUUUUAUUUAUGUUUGCAUUUAAGUAAUUAGAAUUUCUUACAUUGCUUUAUUUUUUGUGAUUUUUUUGUAAUGUUUUUAUUUUCUGCCCUGAAAUAAAAAAAUAUGCUUAGUU